AUUGAACGCUGGCGGCAGGCCUAACACAUGCAAGUCGAGCGGAUGAAGGGAGCUUGCUCCUGGAUUCAGCGGCGGACGGGUGAGUAAUGCCUAGGAAUCUGCCUGGUAGUGGGGGAUAACGUCCGGAAACGGGCGCUAAUACCGCAUACGUCCUGAGGGAGAAAGUGGGGGAUCUUCGGACCUCACGCUAUCAGAUGAGCCUAGGUCGGAUUAGCUAGUUGGUGGGGUAAAGGCCUACCAAGGCGACGAUCCGUAACUGGUCUGAGAGGAUGAUCAGUCACACUGGAACGGAGACACGGUCCAGGCGCCUACGGGAGGCAGCAGUGGGGAAUAUUGGACAAUGGGGGAAAGCAUGAUCCAGCCAGGCCGCGUGUGUGGAGAAGGUCUUGGGAGUGUAAAGCAGUUUAAGUUGGGAGGAAGGGCAGUAAGUUAAUACCUUGCUGGUUUGACGGUACCAACAGAAGAAGCACCGGCUAACUUCGUG
rnacentral:rRNA from 1 species